AGUGAACGCUGGCGGUAGGCCUAACACAUGCAAGUCGAACGGCAGCACAGGAGAGCUUGCUCUCUGGGUGGCGAGUGGCGGACGGGUGAGGAAUACAUCGGAAUCUACUUUUUCGUGGGGGAUAACGUAGGGAAACUUACGCUAAUACCGCAUACGACCUACGGGUGAAAGCAGGGGACCUUCGGGCCUUGCGCGAUUGAAUGAGCCGGUGUCGGAUUAGCUAGUCGGCGGGGUAAAGGCCCACCAAGGCGACGAUCCGUAGCUGGGCUGAGAGGAUGAUCAGCCACACUGGAACUGAGACACGGUCAAGACUCCUACGGGAGGCAGCAGGGGGGAAUAUUGGACAAUGAGCGCAAGCCUGAUCCAGCCAUACCGCGUGGGUGAAGAGGGCCUUCGGGUUGUAAAGCCCUUUUGUUGGGAAAGAAAUCCAGCUGGCUAAUACCCGGUUGGGAUGACGGUACCCAAAGAAUAGGCACCGGCUAACUUCGUGCCAGCCGCCGCCGUAA
rnacentral:rRNA from 1 species